GUCGGAGUGGCGGAAUUGGCAGACGCGCCAGACUAAGGAUCUGGUGCCCUUAGGGGCGUGGGGGUUCAAGUCCCCCCUCCGACACAA
rnacentral:tRNA from 1 species